UCAGACGAUGCGUCAUGCAUAUCAAUAAGCGGAGGAAAAGAAACUAACAAGGAUUCCCCUAGUAACGGCGAGGUGAAGCGGGAAGAAGCUCAAAUUUGAAAUCUUAAAGGGUUUUCCCUUGACGAAUUGUAGUUUAAAGAAGUGUUUUCUGUUGAAGGUUUUGGUAAAAGUUCUUUGGAAUAGGACAUCAUAGAGGGUGAGAAUCCCGUAUUUGACCAUUUACUUUUCAGCUGUGUGAUACACUUUCAAAGAGUCGGAUUGUUUGGGAAUGCAGUCCAAAAUGGGUGGUAAAUUUCAUCUAAAGCUAAAUAUUGGCGAGAGACCGAUAGCGAACAAGUACCGUGAGGGAAAGAUGAAAAGAACUUUGAAAAGAGAGUUAAACAGUACGUGAAAUUGUCAAAAGGGAAGCGUUUGACACCAGUGUUGUUUUUCUGAAAAUCAAUUAAAAGAACUGUUUAUGCUAAGUUGUUUAUGACUUUAAUCAGCUAACUGUUUAAGUUAUUGAGCUUUUCUUUAAUGCACUUUUCAGUUAACAAGUCAACAUCAAUUUCUUUUGCUGUAAAAAAGCUUGAGGAAGGUGGCUUGAGAUUCGUCUUAAGUGUUUAUAGCCUCUUGCCUAUGCAGUCGGAGAGAUUGAGGUCUGCAGCGUAGAUCCCUCGGGGCUAAAUGCAUUUGUGCCAAGUUAUAGCAUUUUAUAGACAACUUGUUGACUAUGAUUUGUCUUGUAGCUUACUCGCUUAUGUUAUUUUACCUACGCUUAGGAUGUUGAGCGCAUGUCUCUCUCU
rnacentral:rRNA from 1 species